UGGGGAGUACGAUCGCAAGAUUAAAACUCAAGGGAAUUGACGGGGCCCCGCACAAGCAGCGGAGCAUGCGGCUUAAUUCGACGCAACGCGAGGAACCUUACCAAGGCUUGACAUAUACCGGAAUAUGGCAGAAAUGUCAUAGCUGUAAAAGGUCGGUAUACAGGUGGUGCAUGGUUGUCGUCAGCUCGUGUCGUGAGAUGUUGGGUUAAGUCCCGCAACGAGCGCAACCCUCGUUCUGUGUUGCCAGCAUUUAGUUGGGGACUCACAGGAGACUGCCGGGGUCAACUCGGAGGAAGGUGGGGAUGACGUCAAAUCAUCAUGCCCCUUAUGUCUUGGGCUGCACGCAUGCUACAAUGGCCGGUACAAAGGGCUGCGAUACCGCAAGGUGGAGCGAAUCCCAAAAAGCCGGUCUCAGUUCGGAUUGGGGUCUGCAACUCGACCCCAUGAAGUCGGAGUUGCUAGUAAUCGCAGAUCAGCAACGCUGCGGUGAAUACGUUCCCGGGGCUUGUACACACCGCCCGUCACGUCACGAAAGUCGGUAACACCCGAAGUCAGUGGCCCAACCGCAAGGAGGGAGCUGCCGAAGGUGGGAUCGGUGAUUGGGACGAAGUCGUAACAAGGUAACC
rnacentral:rRNA from 1 species